GUCAAACAACGCUGCUGAGUUUUCACCCCAAAUCUACCCAAAAUCAUGCCCGGGAGCCAAGUAUUAGCAGUGGGAUGAUCAAAACUUUGCCACAACGUAUGGGGAAUUCAUGAUGAUCAGCAGAUACCACCAACCGGCCGUCUCUUUCCAUUUUUAACUCCGGCCCGGGGACCAAAGAAAUUUGAGCUUGGCCGAGCCAAGCCACCCAAACAAUCAUUUGUUGGGAACUUGCCAGGAUUGGAUACUCCGUGAACUGUAUACACAAAUAGCAGCUAGUGGUAGAGCUAGUGCCCGUCGGCCCCCUGAUGAGUUUUAACUCGAAGAUUUUAUUGGAAGACCUCAAGUAAACUUCAUCAGUGGGUAAUAUGUAUUCUCCAGGCCCAAGUGUGUCUUUAGCACUAACAUAAGAUAGCAACAAGGCAUGACAGAUGAAGAAGCCAACAAUGCCAACUACUAAACUAUCAUAGAAUAUUAUUCUACUCAUCCCUAUCACGUAUGAUUUCAAAUAAAAUUGCUAGGUGGAUGUGAAUGGUUUUGAUUGCACUUUUUCAAGUGAUCGAGUGAGUGCUUACUCCAAAGAGAAGGAUAUGGGUAUAUCAAAAGAGAAAUUAAAUAUAGAAAAAGAA